rnacentral:lncRNA from 1 species
UCUCGGUCAUCCCCCUGCCUCCACGCAGGGCUCCUCCCACACCAGUCCUCCUCUCCACCUGCGGUUCUUCCCGCUGAGUCUGACAAUCGCCUCCAGUCCUCUCUCCAAUCUCUGACCCCCAAGUGCAGGUGAAGGGGGUGGGCGGAUAGAUCACAAAGAGACAGAUAGAGCUGCCAAGGCUUGACAGCAGAAACGGAGGGCGCCCAGGUUCCAACACAAUUCACGGCAGAAGGGCUGGUUGCUCCUCCCAGGGCCUGCUCUGCCUUUGUCGAAAAGGCUAAGUGAAAGUGAGCACCAGAUAGACUGUUCUAGAAACUCUGCCCCAGGCAGGGUAGAACAGAAACUCGGAAAUUAUUGCAGAAAAUCUCCUUUGAUGGGGAGAGGGGGGUCAGGAUGUGCCCCCCAACACCUCUGCCCACCGAGGCCCAGGUAGGGUGUCCCGGGCCAAGAAAAGGCCUUAGGACAGGAAGGUGCUUUGCAAACACAGAGCAGGAGGCAGACCGGGUCCUGGGGGCCUACACUUGCACCGCUUUCCUCAACCCUCGAGGCAGUGGGGAGACAGGGGUUUCCCGGCGGACAGAGACUCCGGGCCCAGGGCCUCUCACCCGGGGCAAGAGGUGCAGGAGGCUUCUCUAUCAUGCGCUCGGUACCCAGCACUGUGUGGUACUUAGCGGGCUCUUGCCCUCUGCCUGCUGAAUGCCAGGAGCACAUGCCGUUGUGAGCGCUGAAAUGGUCUCCUGGCGUUGCCAAGUGUCUCAGGAGCAGAACCCGCUGGAGAACGGUUGUCUUACACAGCAGGUGUCCAGAGGCUCUGGGACAGGCCCACAUUUGAAUCUAGAUGGUCUGCCGUCUCUGUGGGGGUACAAGUCCCCUUUGAAAAUCUCUCCCCAGAAUAAUAUAUGGCUCCCACCUUUAGUUUCCAGUUUAUGGGCUCCAGGUGCUUAUCCAUGGAGUGACGGUUGGGAAUAUCCGCGUCCAGGGAAUGCGGGGCUGGAGGAAAAGCUGGCUGAGUCAGUGCCCUGCUGUGAGGGUCCCUUGGGGACAAGAAGUGAGAUCUCUGCUAUGACUGGGUGACCUCAGCCUUUACCCAGGUGGACCUGCCCCUGAAGGCCAGUGGGGACGGGAUCGAUGGACUCAGGAGGUGACCUUUGGUUCUGGGCUCUGGAAUGUGAUGAUGGAGGGUGGUGGAGAAGCUUCUAGACUCCAGGAACUUCACUCCCCCUGCUCCGUUGCAUGCUUUAAAGACACCUGGAACACCACACCAACUCUCUGGCCUCGGGUUCCUGGUUUGUAAAAUGGAGGCAUGGGACUGAAGGAGGGUCUCCUGACAAUUGACACGCAUU